UCCACCCAACAUCACACCAUGUUUCCCAGUCAACCCCAGUGGUGGCUGUCGUGUUUCAUCUUGUGUCAUAAUGCAACCGGUUAAUUGCGGUGGACAAUCCUCUGACUCGACAUUAACAUAUGAAUAACUUCAGUGUGUUAACACGUUGCCAACUCCUUCUCUUUCUUCCAGGUGAACAACUCAAUACUUUGACACUGUCCAAACAAUGAGUUGACAUGGAUUUGGUUUACACACGAGUUCUGAGCUACCGGCUGUCUAUAAGGUCACGGCCCGUUGCCCGUGCACUCAGUGUGAGUACAAACUCCAGCCGGGCCCAGGAGACAGAAUCCAGGUCCGAAGGGGGGAGCCGGAGCCCCUUCAACCUUCCUUCACCUCCACAGUGAAGAAGAAGAAGAAGAAGCAUACUGGCCGCUUUCCGAGCACCUGCAGUGUUUAUGACCCGUCCGGUGAGACUUUGUAUUCCUCACCACCUAAGCAUCAAAGCCCUCGGGAGGACGAGGCCGGCCCACGUCUCCCUCUCGGGAAGCUCAAGAAGGACUAGUCGGACAGAGGGAAGGACAAGAGGCUGAAACCGGAGGGAGGCCAGGAUGACUUGCGCAGAAAGAGAGACUCGGCUUUGGAGCAAACGAUACAAAAGGGACUCAUUUGAAUGCACCACACAACUUACAUUCUGGCAUUUAGAUAAACAGCAGACUCAUUAGCGCGACACGAGCCACAAAGAAAGACUCACGGGGUAGAAGUGAGAGGGAAGGCAGACAGAUCUCAACGCCCCGAAAAUAAACUCCACUCACUGACACCCCUCUGAGAUACAAGGCAACACCACACCGUCCCCUCGGUGUAACCCUGUCUCCACGGCAACAGCUCAACCUGACCUUGCCUAAUUUGUUCCAUUACAAGCGGCGGUCGCACAGCGCCCCUAAAUAUGCACCAGGUGGAAUGAAAGGCAUUGUGCACACAGAGCGAACAGAGCUGCCUUCCAGUCUCCAUGCACAGCCAGCGGGGAGAGAAACAACACGGAGGAGAGAUGGAGCGGAACCAACGACAAUUACCCCCAAAGUCUGGCUCGCUAAUGUGAAACCACGAAACAUCAGGACAGAACAUCGCUGUUCUCACUUGAAGUCUCUCCUGGUUUAUUUUAUGUUAAUCCAAAGAUAACACAGGUUACCAAACGAAUAUCUUCUUCAUUUGAGCUGCGUAAUUAACACGGGGAGCACUGUGAUGCGCUGCGGCAUAUUUAUAAGACCCUUUAAUGUCCCAUAAAUGUCGUUAUUGAUCUCAGACGAGUCCGAUCCAUGAGGAUCUUUUUAAAUCUCCGUCAAUCAUCAGUGAUCCUUGUGUUCGAGGUUCAUCGCAGUUGACCCGCUGUAACAUUGAUCCCAUUCUUAUACUGUAUAUUACAGCCAUAAAUAGGCUCAUUAUUAUUAUUUAAUGAUUUUAUUAGCUAUUGGUUAUAGAGGAGACUUGAAUUACAUGUUGGUCAUUUUUAAUGGG